rnacentral:misc_RNA from 1 species
CCGAGUUCAUGCCCUCACGGGUAGAUCUCCCCACCCUUGUGUAUUUUCAUGUUUGUGUUGCUUUGGCAGGCCGUGGGCCGCGCCCACCACCGGCUCCCGGGCUGGUGCGUGCCUGCCAGAGGACCCUUUUAAACUCUGUUUGUCAGUGUCGUCUGAGUAUGAUAACAAUCGUUA